GAAAACUGGAUGUUGAAUCCCCUUUACUAGUUUUUGGAGUUGUAUCUACCACCAGUAAAAAGGUUCAGGAGACAUCCACCAUGGAACUGACUACAGCUGAUAUUCGCUACCCAUUAUUACAAAGAGGUCUGAAAUUUAAAAACAUUAAAUAAAAAAAAAACCGUGUAUGAUGAUAUUGUAUCAAUCAUGACAAAAUAGUUAGGUAUCAUCACAGUUUUUUGAUACGGAUCUUCCAUUUUUUACUUUAAAUUUAUCGUUGUUCUCCAUUUCUUAUUGGCUUAUUUCAAUUAUAUACAUAAAUAUAUAACAUAGAAACAAAUCAACCAAUCAGAAGCUGAUAACUAUGACAUGGGAUCGAGGUCAUACUGAAAAAAACUAUUACUGCUGUGAUGAUAUCCAUCUGAUUUGUCAUAGUAUCUAUUACCCCCUAAUUGUAUUAAUACAUUUUUUAAUUUUGUCCUAAGAAACACUCAAAAGCAAGAAAAAAAUUUUAAUAUUGUCCAAAGAAUCACUCAAAAGCAAGAAUAAAAGACUGAAAAAUAAAAUGUCAAUGCAUUUAAAAUUAUCAAAAUCACUAACCAAAAGUUUGAAUGACAUGAAAGAUAAAAAUGCCAAGCUUACUGAGAAAUUUAAUGUAGCGCUGUUGGAAGAUAAAGAUUACCAGUGCCCAGUUUGUCAUGAACCAUUCAUA